rnacentral:rRNA from 2 species
UACAGAGGGGGCAAGCGUUAUUCGGAAUUAUUGGGCGUAAAGGGCGCGUAGGCGGUUCUUUAAGUCGGAUGUGCAAUCCCCGAGCUCAACUUGGGAACUGCAUCCGAGACUGGAGAGCUAGAGUGCUGGAGAGGGUGGUGGAAUUCCACGUGUAGCGGUGAAAUGCGUAGAGAUGUGGAGGAACACCAGUGGCGAAGGCGGCCACCUGGACAGUAACUGACGCUGAGGCGCGAAAGUGUGGGGAGCAAACAGG